rnacentral:sRNA from 1 species
ACUUCCCUCCUCUCUCAGGCGUCUCCUUGGAGGGCUCGGAGCUCAUGUUCCCAGACCUAGUCCAGCUCAUCUGUGCCUACUGCCACACCCGGGACAUCCUUCUCCUCCCGCUGCAGCUCCCCAGAGCCAUCCACCACGCAGCCACUCACAAAGAGCUGGAGGCCAUCUCCCAUCUGGGCAUUGGUAAGGGCUUCCUGCCACCCAUUGCACAGAUGAACAAGCUGAGGCUGAUGGGAAGGCAAGGCUCGCAGCACACCGCCCGAAGCCCCUGCCUUGCCUUGGUUGGGAAACUUCCCCUAACCAAUCCCGGAGGCCCCAGUCGGUUUCUUGUUCCCUAGAGUUCUGGAGCUCCUCCCUCAACAUCAAGGCUCAGCAGGGCCCGGCUGGAGGCCCAGUGUUGCCCCAGCUGAAGGCCCGGUCCCCUCAAGAGCUGGACCAGGGCACCGGAGCCGCCUUGUGCUUCUUCAACCCCCUGUUCCCGGGGGACCUAGGGCCCACCAAGCGGGAGAAAUUCAAGAGAAGCUUCAAAGUGCGCGUGUCCACAGAGACCUCCAGCCCCCUGUCUCCACCUGCCGUGCCACCUCCCCCCGU